UGACCGCCCCUUUCCUUUUCGUUCUCUCUCUCUCUCUCAUACUCAAAGAUUAAGAUUUUAGAUCUGGAUCUGGAUCUAUUCACCGUAAGCUAUUGUUCUCGAGGAUCUAGACACCUUCCCUAAGAUGGUUGAAGAUGGAUCCCUAGCCGUCGCAUCUGGUGAAGACGGUGGUGAUUUCAACUAUCUGUGAUCUUAUGCUUCAAUUUCUCUUAUGCUUCAAUUUCUCUUUUGUUGGUUUAUCAUUGAUCACCCCUAGGGUUUUGUUGUUUCGGGACAAGAAUCAUGGCUGUUCUCUCCAACCUACCCGCUAUGGAUGCAAAAAUGGGUCAAGCGAAAGAAGCCCUAACUGCCCUUCGCCGCCCGGAAGUUAAUCAUAAUCCAUCUUUAUGUUGCUGCCAGAGAACUUUCUCGAAGGGUAAUGGGUGAAGAAGCUGGCGACGACAUGAUGGUUUACAAGACCCAACAAAAGUUUUCUAAGGUUUAUCGGCCAGCCACAGCGACACCGAUGGCAGGUGACGGCUGAGGAUGGUGAUUGCGUUGCGAGAGUCACCCGGAGUGAUGACAAAUUAGGGCUUCGCAUCUCUGUUGAGGCUUUUUGUUGAUUCGAGCUUCACAGGUUUUGAUUACAAUAUCUCAGUUAGGGGUUUUCAUCUCUAUUAGGGUUUAGAGCGUGUGUGUUGUUUAGUUUUUUUUAGUUGUGUUUUGUAGCAGAUCUAGGAUUCACAUAUUUGUUAAGGCUUUGUUUCAUUUUUUUACUUUUCUCUGUGUUUUCUCCAUUAUAGACCAAUGUUUGUUCGGAAGGCAAGAAUAACAACAGAGCAUUCGACAAUCACUGAAGAACCUGAGAUUGAUCUGUUUGAAGAUCCUUUGUAAAUUCGGUUCUUGGUUCUUGAUUUUUAGUUGUUUCUCUUUUUUUUCUUGGUUCUUGAUACUUGUUAGGGUUCUUAAUUUCAGAGAUAAUGAUCGAAUCAUUAGGUGUGAUGGAUAAGUUGCAGUGGUUCUUGAUACUUAUAGUUUUUAAAAGUUUAGAUGGUAAAAUCUGGCUAAUUUAUGAUCAUUCUUUUUCCUAAAUUGACAUUUAUGAACUCAAUAUGGUAUUGCUGCCUGUUGUUUUGUUUUAACCAACUCAUGGCCAAUGGGUUGUUAACUUCGUACUUAAUUUUCAUUUUUGUGGUCAUCCUAUUUUCAUUGAUUUCUUCUAUAACUGAAUAAUGACAUGUUCAAUUGAUUUCUUCUAUAACUGAUAUUUUCUUAUUCGUGUGUUCGGAUAUUUAUACUUAAAUUAUGGCGUACUUUAUUAGCAGCCAUCAUCAUGGCCGAGGAUGUUACCGGUAACCUCACCAGACACUAAUCAAAUACAUUGUAUGUUAGGAAGCAUAAGUUAGUUGUUUUGCAAUUUCUUAAACUAUAUGAACUUCACCAUAAAAAUACUUACUAGCAUGGAAAAAGAAGAAUGGUACAUGUAUUCUCUGUUUCGAAAACAUAACACCAUGAGAAAUUGAGAACACCGUCCUUUUGUGUUUGGAGCCUUACAUGAAAUGUAAUUACUUUCACAUUUUUUUACCAUUGUAUAUAAGAAAGUAUAUUUUAUUGUAUGUUAUAAAACUACUUUUUUUUGAAGGUUAAAAAAAAAAAACUACUGUAACAUAUUAAAAGGUUAGAAAAGCUCAAGAGCUUCUGAAUGGUUUCGAGUUGGGCAUGCCAUGGAACAAACGGUUUCCAUGGGAUUGGUUCGUAGCAUUGGGAUCAGGUUAGUUAUUAUUGCAUUCUUUUUACCAUUCAUAACUUGGUUUAUCAGUUAUUCAUACAAUGUAGGGAAUACUGUUUUUCAAAAUUAUGCAGCAACUAUGACAUUUUCUUGACCAGAGAUUGCUUAGGUUACUCUAAAAUAAAGCCAGCUGUAAACCAGAUUGAAACGCAUCGUUAUUUCCAGCGCGACUCUCUUGUUAACUUCUGUCAGAAGCAUGGAAUUGCAGUUACAGCCCACACUCCCCUUGGUGGCUCCUUGGCUAAUACAGAGUGGUUCGGUUCGGUGUCUUGCUUAGAUGACCCAGAUCACAAAGGCUUGGCUGAGAAGUACAAGAAAACCGUUGCGCAAGUGGUUCUACAAUGGGGCAUACAACUCACGCCUGCACUCACUUGAGCAUGUUAUGGUUAACCUCCGCUCGCCCAGGCUACCACGCUCACCCCGGCGCUCACGUGUGACCGCUCGAGGCACCCCGUUGCGGUCCUCGUGAGCGACCUGGCCGUUAAUGUGGCUCACCACGGCGCUAACGGGUGCCACAACGCACAGUCUUAUUGUUGUUUGCACCAUACACAGCUCGACACUAACCUAGAAGCUGGAAUCGGUAUGCUUGAUAAUAGUCUGAAGCUAAUGUCAAUAUGAGCCUAGCAUGUGUAUUUCUUAGUUUAGUUUUAAUAAACAAUCACAACUAUAUUAAAAUGUACUAAUCUUGGUUUUUUUUAUUUAUG
rnacentral:lncRNA from 1 species